rnacentral:rRNA from 1 species
UACGUAGGGUGCGAGCGUUAAUCGGAAUUACUGGGCGUAAAGUGUGCGCAGGCGGCCGCGCAAGUCGAGUGUGAAAGCCCCGGGCUUAACUUGGGAAUUGCGCUCGAAACUACGUGGCUGGAGUGUGGCAGAGGAAGGUGGAAUUCCACGUGUAGCGGAUGAAAUGCGUAGAGAUGUGGAGGAACACCAAUGGCGAAGGCAGCCUUCUAGGGCCAACACUGACGCUCAUGACACGAAAGCGUGGGGAGCAAACAGGA